rnacentral:lncRNA from 1 species
UGGAGAGAGGGCUCAGUGGUUAAGAGCACUGACUGCUCUUCUAGAGGUCCUGAGUUCAAUUUUCAGCAACCACAUGGUGGCUCACAACCAUCUGUAAUAAGAUCUGAUGCCCUCUUCUUGGGUGUUUGAAGACAGCUACAGUGUACUCACAUACAUAAAAUAAACAAAUAAAUCUUUACGAUACCAUUUGUAAAUAAAGAGCCAGGAAAUAGAUAUAGAAGAGGAAAAAAAAAAGACCAGGGACACCAUUUCAUUAUACUCUAUUUACACAAAAAGUGGCUUUGUGUUCACAAAGCAUUUCUGGAGCUAACGUCAAGCAGCAAUAGUAUGAAGAGGAAGGGAAUAAUAGUUGGACAGGACAACUCUCAUGUUCUGUUUCUUAAAUACUAUUCCCAAAGAACAAGUUAGUCUCAGUCCUUUGGCCAAACAGUUAGAUGCCCAGGGGCUUGAGGCAUGGCUCAGCAGUUGAGGACACUUGCUGUUCUUCUGGAGGACUCAAACUCAUUUCCCAGGAUCCAACAUAUUCGAUGUCCCCAACCACCUUUAACUCCAGCUUCAGGGGAUUCUGCACUCUCUUCUGGCCACACUGAGCACUGCACUCACAUGUGCAAACUCAUACAUUCCUAAACAGGUAAUUUAAAAAUAAAAAUAAAAUCUUAACAAAAUAAAUUAGAUGUCCUAUUCUGCUCUAGGUCCACCUUCUCGAAAACCUUGAAACUCUGUGGAUCUAGCACUGUCUAUCCACUCAGCCUUCUGGAUGGUCCAAUUUGCAGUGGUGCCCAGUUGCUCACUGAGAUGCUCAUCUCAACAUGUGUACCACCUGAAAUAGCUCACUGUGGGAUAGGUUUGUAUCUUUAUCUAGAUCGUAUAGUUGCAGUCCAGAGUGGAGAUUGUUAAUUACCCUGUUGAAUGAUUCUGAUACAGUGCUACCACUGGAGAAAGGAGGUACAAAUAAGCUAAGUGAGAAGUCAAGAAUGAGCCCUGAAGUAUAGGAUUGGAAUCUGAAGUAUAAAUAUAUAUCCAUAUUUAUGCAGUUAUGUAUAUAUGUAGACAGAAAGUAAAUAUAUGCAUGCUUGUAUCAAUAUAUAGCUAUGUAUUGCCUAGCUUAUCUCAGAAACCUUGUAGGAUUAAAGAACUCUGGUGACACUGAGCAUAUCUAGUGACUAGAUCUUGUCUUUGAAAUAGCAAUAUAUAAUAAAAGGACUCCUUAAAGAAAAGGUUUAUCUGAGACUGGGUUAGGAAAAUAUAAGAUAAGUUUGGAUUAUCUUGUAGUAUCACAAAAUAUGAGAUUGCUCACAAAAUAGUAGGGAAGCAUGUAAGAGAUCAUAGUAAACAACCUGAAGGAGCUGUCACUGGACAACUUGGUAUACUUUGAGCAGUAAAAUAAGCAAUGGUAGUAAUUACAUAUAAUAUAAAAAGAUAAACGCUAUGAGUCGUGUGUGUGUGUGUUCGCCUAUGCAAGCACAUUCAGAGGUGAGAGAUUUGACACUGAGAUAGAUUCCUAAAUUGUUUCUCCAAUUGCAUAUGAAACUCACUGUUUUAGAUAAACUGGAUGGCCAGUGAGUUAGUUCCCUUGAGAUCUGUCUCUGCUUCCACUGGGGUUACAGGCAAGUACACCAUGCAAGGCUUUCUAAUGUGAGAUCUGGAUUUCCAAACUCAGGUCCCUAUAUUCCCACAGCAGACAAUUUUCUCACUAAGUCAUAUCCCCAGAAGCCCUACUGAAUGGAUUAAAAAGAUAAAUAUGUUAACAUAUGAAGGAUAGACAUUCUUUCUUACAAAAUAAUUCUAAUUAAUGAGUGUAAAGGUAAUAUUGAAAAAAGAUCAUCAAUUAGACAAAUACUGUGA